CCCCUGGUGGCUCAGUUGGUAAAGAAUUUGCCUGCAAUGCAGGAGACCCAGGUUCAAUCCCUGGGUGGGGAA
rnacentral:tRNA from 1 species